UUGAACGCUGGCGGCAUGCCUUACACAUGCAAGUCGAACGGCAGCACGGGAGCAAUCCUGGUGGCGAGUGGCGAACGGGUGAGUAAUAUAUCGGAACGUGCCCAGUCGUGGGGGAUAACGUAGCGAAAGCUACGCUAAUACCGCAUACGAUCUAUGGAUGAAAGCGGGGGAUCGCAAGACCUCGCGCGAUUGGAGCGGCCGAUAUCAGAUUAGGUAGUUGGUGAGGUAAAGGCUCACCAAGCCGACGAUCUGUAGCUGGUCUGAGAGGACGACCAGCCACACUGGGACUGAGACACGGCCCAGACUCCUACGGGAGGCAGCAGUGGGGAAUUUUGGACAAUGGGCGCAAGCCUGAUCCAGCAAUGCCGCGUGCGGGAUGAAGGCCUUCGGGUUGUAAACUGCUUUUGUACGGAACGAAACGGUGAGCUCUAAUACAGUUUGCUAAUGACGGUACCGUAAGAAUAAGCACCGGCUAACUACGUG
rnacentral:rRNA from 1 species